rnacentral:lncRNA from 1 species
UGUUCUCUGCCGAUUCUGGGCAUUGCUAAUGCGACUCCCACACCUGCUCUUUCUCUGUAACUGCCUUCGUGCCUACUGGGUCAAGUUUUGGGGUUACAAGCAGCAGUCAGAGCCGGCUUCGGAGUUGGGCCACAGCCUGAAUGAGAAUGUUCUCAAGCCUGCACAGGAGAAGGUAUGGGUGGCACCAAAAUCAAGGUGCUUGUGUGUUCCACUGAGACUCUUUACUGACCUGGGAAAUGGGUAUGUUGGGGAUCUGCAAAAUCUUGCCUCUAAUCUUCUCCAGUCCAGGUGGCCUUGGGCUUCUUUUUCUUAGUCUUCCUAGUCAAUUCCAAGGACAUCCCAAGGGUACUUCUCUUCCUUCUGUUUUACUUCAGUGACCAGACCACAGGCAGUGGUGCUGAUUAUCUACAAAGGGUAUCAGUCUUGUGAGGAGUCAGUAGUCCCAACCUUCCUUGCAGCAGGAGUCUGGGCAGCAUUGGCCUCUACAGAGGGCACAGAGUCUUUUGGUUUAAUGUGGUUUUAUGGAGGUGAAGCCAGAUGGACUCUUGGUAGAACUUGGGGAGUUUAAUGUGACAGGUCCUUGUGCACGCUGGACUUUUAAUCUUCCUAACGAUGCCCUUUAAAUCGCACAGGUGAAAGAGGGAAGGAUUUUUGAUGAUGUGUCCAGUGGGGUCUCUCAGUUGGCAUCCAAGGUAGGGCUACCCUGCUGAUUGCACAGCCAAAGCCAGUCUCCAUAUUCCAGGCACGGAGGCCCACAGGGUCUUGGGCCAGUUGAGGCAGUGGCCUCUGCCCUCUGGUUUCUGAGGGCUUGAGGAAUAUGGAAACAGCUUGGUUGUUGGGGAUUUACCAGCCACUAACCUGUGUUUCUUCUUGGUUUUGCUGCCGUUGGCCUGUCCCUUGGUAAGUGCCAUUGUCAGCUAUUGCUGGUCCUGUGACCUCAGGGCCUAGUGUGAUGGGGGCGGGUUCAUCAGACUUCACAACACGAUGGCAAUAGAAGAUGUCUCCUGAAGUCUUCCAUUGCAUUGUAGUAAAGACAAGGCCUACAGUGGCUCACAGCUCUGAACAGGUCCCAAGUGUUGUGGCAUUGGGAAGGCCAUGCCUUUCACUAUGUAUGUGGCAUUGUCCCAGCCAUUACAGAAACUACUUCUGCAGAGAUGGCAGAGAGAUGCUCACAGCAAACUAAGCAGCCAAGAGCUAACUGUAACUUCACCACUGCUGCUGUGUUACUGUGCAUAAGUGUGUGUGUAUCUAUAUGUGACACUCCUCCAAGUUUUGUCUUAGCAGGGCAGCAUCCAUUUUUGUUGUUUUAGAGCCAGAGGUGCGAUGUAGUAUGUGGACUUGGUUUCCUGUCUCCUUCCAGGUCCAGGGAGUUGGCAGUAAGGGAUG